GUCUACAGCCAUGCUCCCCUGAACAAGCCUGAUCCCGUCUGACCUCGGAAGCUAAGCAGGGUCGGGCCUGGUUAGUACUUGGGUGGGAGACCACCUAGGAAGACCAGGUGCUAUAGGCG
rnacentral:rRNA from 1 species